ACUCAAAUGAAUUGACGGGGGCCCGCACAAGCGGUGGAUCAUGUGGUUUAAUUCGAAGCAACGCGAAGAACCUUACCUGGGUUUGACAUCUCCUGACAGCCGUAGAGAUACGGUUUCUGUAGCAAUACAGCAGGAAGACAGGUGCUGCAUGGCUGUCGUCAGCUCGUGUGGUGACAUGUUGGGUUAAGUCCCGCAACGAGCGCAACCCUUGUCUUUAGUUGCCAGCAUUCAGUUGGGCACUCUAAAGAGACUGCCGUGGUUAACACGGAGGAAGGUGGGGAUGACGUCAAGUCCUCAUGGCCUUUAUAUCCAGGGCGACACACGUGAUACAAUGGACGGUACAGAGGGAAGCGAAAGCGCGAGCUGGAGCCAAUCUCAAAAAGCCGUUCUCAGUUCGGAUUGGAGUCUGCAACUCGACUCCAUGAAGUUGGAAUCGCUAGUAAUCGCGGAUCAGCACGCCGCGGUGAAUACGUUCCCGGGCCUUGUACACACCGCCCGU
rnacentral:rRNA from 1 species